ACAAUGCGGGACUAUACGUCUUGCAAUUGGAUUGAGAACAAUGUACAACUCUUAUCGAUAAGCCAUUGGAGGGCAAGUCUGGUGCCAGCAGCCGCGGUAAUUCCAGCUCCAAUAGCGUAUAUUAACGUUGUUGCAGUUAAAAAGCUCGUAGUUGAAGUGUGGGUGAUCGCUGUUGUGAGACUUCGGUCUCUCGACAGUAAGUCACCCCCUUCCAGUAUCCAGUAGUGGGUAUUCAGUUACUUACUAUUGUGUGUUGGUCGUUUACUGUGAGAAAAUUAGAGUGUUCAAAGCAGGCGUUUGCUUGAAUAGAUUAGCAUGGAAUAAUAAUUGAAGGCUUUCGUGUUCGAUUUGAUUGGUUUGUUCAUGGAAGCAAGGUUAAAAGGAACAGUUGGGGGUAUUCAUAUUCACUAGUUAGAGGUGAAAUUCUCGGAUUUAUGGAAGAUGAACAA
rnacentral:rRNA from 1 species